rnacentral:rRNA from 1 species
AGAGUUUGAUCAUGGCUCAGAUUGAACGNCUAGCGGGAUGCUUUACACAUGCAAGUCGAACGGCAGCGCGGACUUCGGUCUGGCGGCGAGUGGCGAACGGGUGAGUAAUAUAUCGGAACGUGCCCAGUAGCGGGGGAUAACUACGCGAAAGCGUGGCUAAUACCGCAUACGCCCUACGGGGGAAAGGGGGGGAUCGCAAGACCUCUCACUAUUGGAGCGGCCGAUAUCGGAUUAGCUAGUUGGUGGGGUAAAGGCUCACCAAGGCGACGAUCCGUAGCUGGUUUGAGAGGACGACCAGCCACACUGGGACUGAGACACGGCCCAGACUCCUACGGGAGGCAGCAGUGGGGAAUUUUGGACAAUGGGGGAAACCCUGAUCCAGCCAUCCCGCGUGUGCGAUGAAGGCCUUCGGGUUGUAAAGCACUUUUGGCAGGGAAGAAACGGCGCCGGAUAAUACCUGGCGUCACUGACGGUACCUGCAGAAUAAGCACCGGCUAACUACGUGCCAGCAGCCGCGGUAAUACGUAGGGUGCAAGCGUUAAUCGGAAUUACUGGGCGUAAAGCGUGCGCAGGCGGUUCGGAAAGAAGGAUGUGAAAUCCCAGGGCUUAACCUUGGAACUGCAUUCUUAACUGCCGGGCUAGAGUAUGUCAGAGGGGGGUAGAAUUCCACGUGUAGCAGUGAAAUGCGUAGAGAUGUGGAGGAAUACCGAUGGCGAANGCAGCCCCCUGGGAUAAUACUGACGCUCAUGCACGAAAGCGUGGGGAGCAAACAGGAUUAGAUACC